GUACGGGAGGCAGCAGUGGGGAAUAUUGCACAAUGGGCGUAAGCCUGAUGCAGCCAUGCCGCGUGUGUGAAGAAGGCCUUAGGGUUGUAAAGCACUUUCAGCGAGGAGGAAGGGUUCGGUGUUAAUAGCGCCGUUCAUUGACGUUACUCGCAGAAGAAGCACCGGCUAACUCCGUGCCAGCAGCCGCGGUAAUACGGAGGGUGCAAGCGUUAAUCGGAAUUACUGGGUGUAAAGCGCACGCAGGCGGUUUGUUAAGUCAGAUGUGAAAUCCCCGCGCUUAACGUGGGAACUGCAUUUGAAACUGGCAAGCUAGAGUCUUGUAGAGGGGGGUAGAAUUCCAGGUGUAGCGGUGAAAUGCGUAGAGAUCUGGAGGAAUACCGGUGGCGAAGGCGGCCCCCUGGACAAAGACUGACGCUCAGGUGCGAAAGCGUGGGGAGCAAACAGGAUUAGAUACCCGGGUAGUCCG
rnacentral:rRNA from 1 species